GGGCGACUGAACCGGGAGGAGCCCAGCGCAUAACCUCGUGUGUCCUCACCGGCCCCGAGGGGUGUUGCGUUUCGGAGGGGUCCAGCACGCCGUGACAUACUGCCUAAGUCUCAGUUUGGAACGCGGCCACUACCCAGGGAGGGUGACAGGCCCGUACGGCGGUUCCCGCGAGGGCAUAGAUGUCGCGGUCGGAAAGGACCUCUCUGUAGAGUCGGGUUGCUUGAAAGUGCAGCCCAAAGCAGGUGGUAAACUCCAUCUAAGGCUGAAUAUGGCCAGGAGACCGAUAGAGAACAAGUACCGUGAGGGAAAGUUGAAAAGAACUUUGAAGAGAGAGUUCAAGAGUACGUGAAACCGUUAAGAGCCAAACGGAUGGAAGCUCGAAGGUCGAACUUGGGGGAUUCAGUUCGUCGGCCGUCGGCUGUGGUCGGGUGUUCGUUAAUUCGCAUGCGACCCGAGAGUGCUUGGGCGCGCUCGACUGCACGCUGGCGUCGGCGGGCGUACUUCGCCUUUAGUAGAGCGCCGCGACCCGUCGCUGGGGACGUCGAAGGCCCGGACGGACUGGUACCCUACCUCCAAACCGUGGUGGUUGUCCCUGUUCGCGGGGACGACUAUGGCGAGUGCCGGGGGUAGGCGAAACCGCCGGUGUAUUUCCUGGCUGCCCUGCGACGGCCGUAGAGACAAGAUCCGCUCUCCUCCUCCCUCCCUCUCCUCCUCGUGGGGAGAGCGGAUGAUGAGACGGGGCUCUCGCGGCGUGCAAAUAGAUCGGUGGUCCAUCCGACCCGUCUUGAAACACGGACCAAGGAGUCUAACAUGUGUGCGAGUCAUUGGGCGCACUAAACCCAAAGGCGUAAUGAAAGUGACAAAGCAUUCCGCGCGUCCGUGUGUGUCGUUCCACGGCCCCCGGGCGCCGGAAAAUGGGCCGAUCCCCAGCCCGCUGUGUGCCUCUGCCGUUGCUCCCCGUCGUCCAGGCAUGCCUAGGUGAGGUAAUUUCCCUGGCCGCUGCCCAGUGAGUCGUCGUGGGAGUGGGUGGUUGGAGCGCGAAGGCGUGUGAGUAACAUCACGUAUCCUGUCCGCAGGGGGGCGCACGCCCGGGACUUGCCAAGACGCCGCCAGGCCGGCCACCUCUCUCUCUCCCUGCGGUGUGUGUGUGUGUGUGUACGUAUGUAUGUGUGUGCGCUGUGCGAGGUUUAGGAGGGGUUCUGCUCCUCCGGCCGAGCUGAUGCAGCAAUCUGCUGCUGCUGCUGCACCACCACCACCUGCAGUUGGUAUUGUGGUGGUCAUCAGGCGUGCAGUCGGCAAGUACCAUGAGCAGACACGUUAGCACCCGAAAGAUGGUGAACUAUGCCUGGCCAGGAUGAAGCCAGAGGAAACUCUGGUGGAGGUCCGUAGCGAAUCUGACGUGCAAAUCGAUCGUCUGAGCUGGGUAUAGGGGCGAAAGACUAAUCGAACCAUCUAGUAGCUGGUUCCCUCUGAAGUUUCCCUAAGGAUAGCUGGAACUCGCAGGAUGAAUUUCAUCCGGUAAAGCGAAUGAUUAGAGGUCUUGGGGACGAAACGUCCUCAACCUAUUCUCAAACUUUAAAUGGGUGAGAUGCCGAGCUUGCUUGAACGCCGCCGCCGCCGACGCCGCCUCUGUGUGUGUGUGAGUGUGUGUGUGUGGUGAAGCUUCGGCGACUAAUCUGAGUAUCUAGUGGGCCAAUUUUGGUAAGCAGAACUGGCGCUGUGGGAUGAACCAAACGUCGAGUUAAGGGGCCUAAAUGAAUGCUUAUUCAGAUCCCAUCGAAAGGCGUUGGUUGCUCUAGACAGCAGGACGGUGGCCAUGGAAGUUGGAAUCCGCUUAGGAGUGUGUAACAACUCACCUGCCGAAGCAACUAGUCCUGAAAAUGGUAUGGCGCUCAAGCACUCUCCCGAUACUCGACCGCCGGGGCACUAGCGGCCACGCACCAACACCAGGUGCGAGGUCUCGAAGCCCCGGUGAGUAAGAGGGUCGCAGUGGUGAGCUUAGAAGGGGUCCGGCGUGAGCCGGCCUGGAGCCGCCACUGGUGCAGAUCUUGGUGGUAGUAGCAAAUAUUCGAGAGAGACGCCCUUGCAGACCGAUGUGGAGAAGGGUUCCAUGUGAACAUCAGUUGGACAUGGGUUAGUCGCUCCUAAGUCCAAGGCCAAGGCCUGAUCCCACGGUAGCGGCAAAGGCCAACCAACCAACGAACGAACCAACCAAUGAACUAACCUAACCAACCUAUAACCACAACUACAUCCGCCAACGCUCCAAAGAAGCAGGUAUUUCCAAAGGUACCAAGGUGUAGGUUUUGGUAGGUAGGUAGGAAGUAAGGUUUUGGAUCGGUUGGUCCKACCACCCAAAGAGUCGACAACCUAACCCUUGCGUGCGUGCGUGCGUGCGUGCACAUGUCGCAAGGGGGCCCUCGCCGGCCGGAGUUCGCAUUCCUUUGCGUGUGUGACUCUGGCCACUCCCAUCCCAAAGGUGCCCACGCGUCUUUGGAGUUGCCUACGGGUUAGUGGCGAAAGGGAAUACGGUAAAUAUUCCGUAACCUGGACUGGGAUACACUGCAGCCGCAAGCACUGCUUGGACUGUGUGUGAAGUACGUCCGCUGACGGGAACCAACUCGCCUACGCCGGCGGUGGUCCGGGAAAGAGUUUUCUUUUCUGUUUAAGGCGCCGUGACCCUGGCAAGCCAUUUGCCGAAAGAGAGGGUGUUGGUAUAACGGUUUAUGCCGAAGAGCGCCGCGGUUCAUGCGGCGUCCCGAGUGCCAUCGCCGGUCCUUGAAACAGCGAGGGAUUGGU
rnacentral:rRNA from 1 species